rfam:Acaryochloris marina MBIC11017 plasmid pREB3, complete sequence.
AAAGUCCUCACCCUAGAAGCCUUGGCUAGGCACUAAGUACUGAGUGUUGCACUGUUCCCGGUAACGAGGGGAGUGAAGCGUACACAAGGAGGUGAUGGGCCGCAAUGCGUAAGCGUGAAGGGAUUGAGCCCCGUUAUCCCCAAUAACUGUGGAUGCCGACAUGUUCUAAAUCAUGGAAGGCAAAACUUAAAGAGCCAAUAGCCAUGGCUCUAGCAGGUCCACCGGGGUCAAAGACCG